GCCGACAUAGCUCAGUCGGUAGAGCAACUGAUUCGUAAUCAGUAGGUCGGUGGUUCGAUUCCACUUGUCGGCACCA
rnacentral:tRNA from 1 species